GGGGCUCUGUGUGUGGGCGCCUCGCGGUGUUCUCGUUUGGCGCCAGUAACAGCCAAUGCUACGGCUUUGAGGGGCUAUCUGGGCUAAAUUCGUGUGAAUGUCUUUGAUGGCACAUCCUAAUUCUUAGGUUGUGAGAGAGUGAAUGACUUCUGUGUUCACUUUUGGGAUGCCAGCACUGGUUUUGCCACCUUCUCCUUCGCGGCUCCUUUUCCUAUGCUGGAGAAAAUAUAUCUGAGCUGAUACAGGAUGCUGUCAGCACUUGGUGCUUUUGCACGAGGCCACUAAGGCCAUGCAGACCAACCACCAGCUGUGCCCACUAAGCCAUAACAGUGCUGAGCUGUGGCCUCGUGGUUUGGUAGCUCGCAGUCUGUGUGUGAAACUUGCUGGAGCUGCACAUGGACUUGGGAUGGCCAGGAGAUCUGGGUGCUGCACGAAGCACGAAUGAUGCUGGGGAGGGGAGCCCUCUGGAAACUGUGACGGCUUGUGUGUGUUGCAACUACAUCUGAUUAGUUCAUCAGGAGCCGGUGUCAGCCUGGUACAUCUAGCGCUGAGUGAGCCUGGAUGCAGUCCAGCUGCUGCCUUGCCCUAUAGGGCUGAAGUGCUCAGCCUUGCUGAACCAGACGUGUGCCUGGGUGUGCCUGAUCUGUGUUGCUCUUAUCAGGAGAGCUAAGCAGCCCAGCCCAGCGGGUGUCCUCGCAAGAGUGCGACCCUGACUCUGCAUGGCUGAUGCUCAGCUGGAGAUAUGGCAGUUCUGAUUGAUUUCAGAGCCUGACAGACAGACAUUCCAGCUUCACUUUGGAGUGACCAUUCCUAAAAUCAAAAAGACAGCAGUGACUCCGGGCCACUUUUUCUGAGAUCAACUGCUUGCUAUGAUGAUGGAUGUUUCUUUACUUUGGACUAAGCUGAAGUUCCUGGCUUGCUUCUUGUCUCCAAAGAGCAUGAAGGAGAAAGGCUACAUCUAUCUGAGCUCUAAGUACAUGGUGCCGGAGUCACAAGACUGAUUUAUCUGAAUUGAAUUGGAGCAUACAGCAGUUCUUCCCUGGCUGAGAAAGGUAGGUUUCCUUUUUGUAGUGGUCUGGACUGACUGUGAAGAAAAGAUGGUGCAUGCCUAUUUAGAGCUGGUGCAGAGCUGGAACGUGGAAUAAGACAGUAUCUGAAACUGAGAGUUAGGAACCAUUCCCAGAUAUACGGAGCUUUGUCCAAAGAUCUUCAGUGGACUGAGUUGUCCCUAUGGCCAUUUCUUUCCAUAUAUAUUAGAAGGAGUCUUGUUGAUAUUCUAGAAGUUCUCUCUCGGAUGCUAACUCAAAACCCUAGGUUGACUGGCUUGUGAAUUAUGAAUGCUAGUGAUAAAAAUCCCACUGAGAGCUUUCUGAAAGACCGUAUGUGGUGGAUUUGUGAUCAUCAUUUAUUACACGUUUGAUAGAUAUCUGCGUGAUAAAAUAUGAAUGUGUAUUAUCAGUAUAAUGACAAGAAAACAAAUUUGUAUAUCAUAUAGUUGUUAUUGGACAGCACUGUUUUGAUAUGUGUAUAUAUACCCUUUAAGGAUAGUGAGCCACUAUUAAAUAACAUAAAACAGGAAAUUUUGGUCACUGAUUUCUGAAAAAGCCCCUUCAGAUGAUCAGUUGAGUGGAAGCAUGUUCCAGGAAACGGUGCAAAA